rnacentral:lncRNA from 1 species
CAGCUGUCACGGAGCCUAUCCCUUACCCGCGAAUAGCGGAACGGCUCCAACCAAGAUAGAGGCAAAUAACGGCCUUCCCCUACGAUACAGGGACUAUCUUGGCAGUUGAGUCUAUUGGGCCGGUUAUCCCGGCCCAAUAGACCAACCUUUGGCCCAGCGCUGGGGGCACUAUAUAAGCUCUCCUAGACAGGAGAGCCAGGUAUUAUGAAUCAUUCUAUACCUUACUUUCUCUCUCUUCUCUUGUAUCUCCCUUGUUCUCUUUGCUGACUUAGGCAUCGGAGCACCUGCAGGUACAAACCCCCCCUUCGGUGUGGAAGCUUGCUCAACGGACCGGCCAUCAACCUUUCUGAUCAUCAGGUUAGAUCAGUGGCGCCGUCUGUGGGGACCUGAGUUUUUCCCCAUCUUUACUCUUUCUCAAAGAAACAAAGAUCAAAACCGAUUCCGUUUUUCAACAAACAAUUUUCAUCAUGGCUAGUUCAUCACAGCAACUCAACACCAAUACCGGCGACGAGAACGUGCUCAACGUUCCACCCUCUCCGCCGCCGCAACAUAACACCGUUCUGUCACCGGUGCGUGACGAUACCACCGUAGCACGCGGUCCAGAAACC